GUGAAGAACGUAGCGAAAUGCGAUAAGUAAUGUGAAUUGCAGAAUUCAGUGAAUCAUCGAAUCUUUGAACGCACAUUGCGCCCGCCAGUAUUCUGGCGGGCAUGCCUGUUCGAGCGUCAUUUCAACCAUCAAGCCCCGGGCUUGUGUUGGGGACCUGCGGCUGCCGCAGGCCCUGAAAUGCAGUGGCGGGCUCGCUGUCACUCCGAGCGUAGUAGUUACAUCUCGCUCUGGGCGUGCUGCGGGUUCCGGCCGUUAAAAGCCUUAUUUACCCAAGGUUGACCUCGGAUCAGGUAGGAAGACCCGCUGAACUUAAGCAUAUCAAUAAGCGGAGGA
rnacentral:misc_RNA from 1 species